AUUGAACGCUGCGGCAGGCUUAACACAUGCAAGUCGAGCGAGCGGCGGACGGGUGAGUGAUGCUUAGGACUCUGCAUAUUCGUGGGGGACAACAUCACGAACGGGAUGCUAAUACCGCAUACUAAUAGCUUAGCCUAAGUCGGAUUAGUUAGUUGGUGGGGUAAAGGCCUACCAAGGCGACGAUCUGUAGCGGGUCUGAGAGGAUGAUCCGCCACACUGGGAAUGGGACACGGCCCAAACUCCUACGGGAGGCAGCAAGGGGGAAUAUUGGAAAAUGGGGUGAAAGCUGGUCCAGGCAUGCCGCGUGUGUGAAGAAGGGCUUAUGGUUGUAAAGCACUUUAAGGGAGGAGGCGUUACUCGCAGAAGAAGCACCGGCUAACUCCGUGCCAGCAGCCGCGGUAAUAC
rnacentral:rRNA from 1 species